rnacentral:misc_RNA from 1 species
UCACUACUUGCGUAGGCAGUCUGGCUAGAGUCCCCACCAUCACGUGCUGGUAACUAACCACAGGGGUUGCGCUCGUUGCGCCACUUAAGGCAACACCUCACGGCACGAGCUGACGACAGCCAUGCAGCACCUUCCGGCCCGUCCCGAAGGAAAGCUCCCUUUCAGGAGCCGGCAGGCCGGAUUUAGCCCAGGUAAGGUGGGGAUGACGUCGUACACCUGAAC